UCUCCCCCCCUCUCUCUCUCUCUCCAUGAAAAAAAAAAAAAAAAAAAAAAAAAACAGGAGCAGAUAAACGAAAACAAAAUCCUCAAACCUCACCAAAAUCAAAAUCAAACAAGCCAUGGAACCCGCUUUGUCGACUCAAACGUCAACGAAUCUCCCGAGAUCACCCAGCACACUCCAUACCAAACAACAAUAACAACAAUGAUCACGGCUGGCAAAAGGUCACUUACGUCAAGCGCCAGCGCAAGGCCGCUAAACCUAACGCCGAUCCGUCCGCCGUUACCGCUCGUACUAACGGCUCCGGUUAAUGGAGAUAAGAGUAGUGUGUUCGUAACCUCGAGCAGCAAGCCGAGGAACGACGUCGUCGAUGGUCAGCGCUCAGCAGGCGAACGUCGCUGUUGUUCACGCUCCUCAAGUGAGAUCGAAACACCGAUCUGACGACGAGGACGAAAGCGAGAGUGACGCGGAGGCUGCCGAAAACGGCAAGGCCGAGGAGGUUAAGAAGGUGAAGCAAAAGAAGCCGAAGAAGCCGAAGAUUCUGUGGCGGAAGCUGCGGCCAAGAUUGACUCGGCCGAUCUCGCGCAUUUCUUGUUGAUAUAUCGGGCACGUAUGGAUCCCAGCAAGAGAUACAAAGAUGAGGUUUGCUGAUUAUUUCGGGAGGGCAUUUUCGGCGGUCAGUGGUCUCAGUUCCCUUGGAUGAAGCUUUUCAAAGAGAACACCGUGGCGAAGAUGCUGAUAUCCCCAUUUCUCACAUUUCGGAUGCUGUUUAUAAGACAUCAAUUGACUGGAUCAACCAACGAUCCCCUGAAGCACUUUCGUCCUUUGUAUUAUGGUCUUUGGAUAGCAUUCUUGUUGACCUGGAUGCCUAUCA